rnacentral:lncRNA from 1 species
CUACACUCCUCCAAAAGACACUCCCAAAAGACAAUUACCUACAAAAUCAAUAACCACAAAAAAACCAGUAGAGCCAUCGUUUCCAUCAGUUAUCUUCAAUGCAUUUGACGAUUUCGUGAACACUUUCAUUGAUCCUCCUUUGAAACCUUGUGUCGAUCCAAAGUAUAUUCUCUCUAACAACUUUGCUCCGGUGGAUGAGCUUCCCCCCACUGAAUGCGAGGUCGUGGUAGGCUCCCUUCCUCCUUGCCUUGACGGCGCGUACAUCCGAAAUGGCCCCAAUCCUCAGUAUCUUCCACGUGGACCUUACCAUCUUUUUGAUGGAGAUGGAAUGCUUCAUUCCAUUAAAAUUUCUCAAAGCAAAGCUACACUCUGCAGCCGAUACGUCAAAACUUACAAAUACACAAUUGAACGUGAAGCUGGUUCUCCGGUUUUCCCAAAUGUAUUCUCCGGU